UACGGAGGGUGCAAGCGUUAUCCGGAUUCACUGGGUUUAAAGGGUGCGUAGGUGGGUUGGUAAGUCAGUGGUGAAAUCCCCGAGCUUAACUUGGGAACUGCCAUUGAUACUAUCAGUCUUGAAUACCGUGGAGGUCGGCGGAAUAUGUCAUGUAGCGGUGAAAUGCUUAGAUAUGACAUAGAACACCAAUUGCGAAGGCAGCUGGCUACUCGGAUAUUGACACUGAGGCACGAAAGCGUGGGGAUCAAACAGG
rnacentral:rRNA from 1 species